rnacentral:rRNA from 1 species
GAUGAACGCUGGCGGCGUGCCUAACACAUGCAAGUCGAGCGAACAGAUGAGGAUCUUGCUCCUCUGACGUUAGCGGCGGACGGGUGAGUAACACGUGGAUAACCUACCUAUAAGACUGGGAUAACUUCGGGAAACCGGAGCUAAUACCGGAUAAUAUAUUGAACCGCAUGGUUCAAUAGUGAAUGACGGUCUUGCUGUCACUGUUAGAUGUUACCGCGCCGCAGUAGCUAGUUGGUAAGGUAACGGCUUACCAAGGCAACGAUGCGUAGCCGACCUGAGAGGGGGAUCGGCCACACUGGGACUGAGACACGGUCCAGACUCCUACGGGAGGCAGCAGUAGGGAAUCUUGCGCAAUGGGCGAAAGCCUGACGGAGCAACGCCGCGUGGGUGAUGAAGGUCUUCGGAUCGUAAAACUCUGUUAUUAGGGAAGAACAAAUGUGUAAGUAACUAUGCACGUCUUGACGGUACCUAAUCAGAAAGCAACGGCUAACUACGUG